CGCGGCCCACUGUCCCAUCCCAGUUAAGAGCAGGGUCUUUAAACUACUAUUCCCAGAAAGACGGGGGAGUUUCCCAGGUGACUUUGCGAAGGCAUGGCAGGGAUCCUGUGAAUGUCAGCCCAGAAGGUAAUCAGAGUAUUUUAAUUCAAAUAGAAUGAAGACAGAAGGGAAGGUGGACAUCAGGUUCACUGUGGAGACUUUUCGUUUUUAUUUACGCUGCUGAAGCUAACGUUUUUGCCUAACACCCCAUUUAAGUAAACGUAUAGGCUGGAAUAGGAGCCCGGCCGGAUGUGAGGUGAACCCUAAAGCUUUCCUAAUUGUAGUUAGCAUCGUCCCUAAGCGGAACGAUUUUUGUGAACAUGAUUUGUACUUUUCUACGUGCCAUACAAUAUACGGAGAAGCUGCACAAGUCCUCGGCAAAGAGAUUGCUUUUGCCACACGUUGUGCUUAACAAAGCGUGCUUGAAGACUGAGCCCAGUUUGAGAUGGGGGCUUCAAUAUCAGAAGAAAACAGUGCGACCUAGAUGUAUCCCUGGAGUCACCCAGAAAGCCAUCUGGACUCAGGGGCCGAGCUCCCGAAAAGCAAAGGAGGAUAGUAGCAAACAAGUGUCUGUGCACAGGAGUCAGAGAGGGGGAACCGCCGUCUUAACAGCACAAAAAGUGAAAGAAACCGGAAGAGAUUUUUCCUAUUUAGUAGUGGUGCUCUUUGGAAUCACCAUUACAGGUGGCUUGUUUUACACAAUUUUCAAAGAACUCUUUUCUUCCUCAAGUCCUAGCAAGAUAUAUGGGAGAGCCCUAGACAAAUGCAGAUCACAUCCCGAGCACUCUGCACAGGGCCCCAGUGCAUCAUCUUUAUUCAGUCUCACAAAAACCAUUUGUGUUCGGUGCUCCUUGAUCUUCAGUUUGCAGAAGGAGAGACUGACACUUAAAGAGAUAAGUAACUUCACCAGGAUCAUGGAGCUGGUAAGUUGGAGAUCCAGAACCUGAAUCCAAGCAAAUCCAAGAUUUGCUUCCAAAUCUGAAGCUGUUAAGCACAGUCUGCCUCCGCCCUUCCCAGGGAAGAGUGAACAUGGGGAAGCUGCCUUGGUUCUUUGAAGGACCCUGUCGAGAAGGAAGGCUUUAGAUGUGGCUUUCCAGUCACACAUAGCCAGUGUGGCCUGGGAAGUGCUGUAUUUCUUACUCCCUGAUGGAAAGCUUUAGCACUGAAAACAUUACUCAUUGAAAUCCAGCUUCAUUCACCUUGAAAGAUAACAGCAGAUAACUCUCUGCCAUUAUCAUCAUAAAUAUUAGGCUGUUUUUCACACAGACCAAAGAGUAAUGUCAUCCCUAGCAUUUGCAGUCCCUAAAGAGGAGAAAGGUUUGAAUCCACAGCAUGCUCUCAAAACAGAGCCCAGGGCUGAUCUUCCCUGGGGCUCCGGCUCUGACUGUACCACUUUUUCCAAUCAUGUCAGGGUGGAAACCUCAGAAGCUAACAAUCACUGGCAUCUUUCUUUUUAAAUCCACCGAUUUCUCUUAAUUGGACCGAGGCAGGGAGGGUGAAGUAUUCCAGAGGUGAAAACCAGCAGGAAAUAAGGAAGGUUCCUAUGAUAGUUACUAUAUCUAACAAGAAACAUUCUUUACAUGUAAAUGUAAAUGUAAAUGUUUCUGCGGAAAUACCUAUGGGUGGUAACCUAAUUAAAUGUUAGAAUGCAUCUCUGGAAAGAGAUGAAGAGUUGCUAUGUUAUUCACAAACUCAUAGAUUUUUCAGCAUUUUGAACAAAAACCUCCACAGAAUAUACAACAGUGAGAUAUUAAAGUCAUAACUUAAUUUGCUGCCUGAAAAAGCUUUACAAAUAAUAAUUAAACUAACAAUUUUGUCAACAUUUUUUAAUGGGUACCCUUCUCUUUGCCAGGUACUGUGUCUGCUUGAAAAAUAGAAAAUCCUGAUGGUGUUGAUAUUUGUAUGUUAAAUAGAUUAAAGUGGAUUGUUCUACUUGUUUGAGCUAUACAGUUCUGAAGUAUCAUCUUACAUGUUACUUCUUUUUCUCCUGGAAAAUGUGAUACUGAAGAUAUUCUUCAAACAGACAAAAUACGAUAAAUUUCAUAGAAAUGAGGGUCAAAUUUUUUUAGUUUAGUAUCAAAUUUAUAUUUUUUAGAGGGUUCCACAGUAUUUGUAUUUUGAAUUCAAUAAAAACUAUAUUUCCACUUCAUGUGGAUUUUCUCAUUAGAAAUAAUAGAUUCACACCUGUGGCUCUGGUUUAUUUUAAAUGUCAUUAUUAUCUGUUUUCUUUUUCUUCACUGUGUAUGGUGACUGAAAAUUUUUUGAUCUCAUAGUUUUAGUAUUAGGUACCAUUAAUUAAUUAAAUUUCAUUUAAAAUGUUCAUACAUUUUAUCUUCAAACCAAAGGGUAUUAGUAGAGAAACAGCUGAACCCUGUGUUGUUUUGUUUGUUUUCUGUAAGGGGAGCAGGAGCUGCGUCAUUUCUGCCUACAUGGUUCUGAAACUAUAAGUCACACCAUAAAGCUACCUAUUUUAAUCUUUGGGCAUGAAAUAUUUGUCUAAUUUAUUUACGGGAUGAUUUUUGUAUAAUAACCCUUUUUUUCAGUUUUCUUAUUGAGUGGUCAUUUUUGAGAAGGUCCUAGGCUUACUGGUUUUUCUUUUUCCUAAAAUCAUUUGGUUGGUUAGAAAUUAUUUCCUUAGGAAGCUUUUAACCCACACACACAAAAAUAAUAAAGCCCUGUCCUUGUUCUGCAGGUGAUUGGUGUCUUUGGUGAGCCUAUUAAAGGCUAUGGGGAGGCGACAAAGCGGGGUCGCAGGCAGCACAUCAGUUUCGUUGAAUAUGUAAAAGAUGGGCUAGAACACACGCGUGUGAAAUUCUACAUCGAGGGCUCCGAGCCAGGGAAGCAAGGAACGGUGCAUGCAGAAGUGAAAAAGGUGUGGGAAUCGUGGGUCAUGGGGUCAGAGGUUCUAAGCGCAGUGUUACUUAAGUUCUAGAAAGGAAAAUAAUACCUGGAAAUACUACAUUUUUUUCAGAACCCAAAAAGUGGUGAAUAUGAUUUUCGAUACAUAUUUGUAGAAAUUGAAUCCUAUCCUAGAAGAACUAUUAUCGUUGAAGAUAAUCGAUCCCAAGAUGAUUAGAAGAAUCAAGCAAGCAGGUUACAGAUGGAUGCUGCGUGGCGUGGACUCACUACUCCAGUCUUCACAGCUCUCUUCCAGAAUCUGCUCAAAAGAAAGACAAGAGUGUAUGGUUUCUAAAGUGAAUCUGAUACAGUAUUUGUUACAUUUAAACAAACUAGACAUUUUCUUUUGGAAAAAUUAUGAAAUAGAGCAUAUUUUAUGUUCUCCCAUUGAAUCAAUCAUGACAGUAUUUCUGCUUUAACACCAACUUUCCUGAGUAGAAAUGGUUGUUAUUGAGAAUUUUACAUCAUGUAAAUAAAGGAAAUAGAUUUUAGUUUUGUGUUAUAGAACUGAAUAAUGUCUCCAGAAUAAAAUUAAAACUAACAAAUAUUUC